rnacentral:tRNA from 1 species
UCCCUGGUGGUCCAGUGGUUAAGACUCUGAACUUCCACUUCAGGGGGCUAUAGUUUGAUCCCUGGUCAGGGAA